AUCAUAUUGACACAACAUCAAUGUAUGUCAUCACAAAAUUUCGUAGCAAAAUUUAAAAUAUAUUUUAAGAUAUAAAAAUGACAAAAUUCACAUCAGUGUGAUAAUGGGCCAAAUCUAAAGCCCAACUUAUGUUAUGUAUUAUUUGGUGUUGUAUUUGUCAUUUUUGUUUUAGGAGCUGUGUUUCGAAUUUUGACUUGAAAUUUUAUGACAAUCUACAUUAAUGUUGUCUGAAUGUGCUACUUUUUUUCUUCAGAAUUUUACAAACAUAUAAAAUGUGCAACUUGAGUUCGAUUCACCGGUAGCACCACAAGCACUGGUGCACCAGAUAUUCUCCCUGGGGCGUGGGGCUGGAGAAGAUAGAACUAGAGAGAGGUCGCGUCUGUGGGUUUCCUUCUUUUUUCAGAGCGACCCUCUCAUUCAAUUGGCCACCACGCACAGUGCGCAGGUGAUGAUGUGGACGUCGCGAGAGUGCGCCCUUCGCGCGACUCGUAAAGGGUUUAAUUUGCUACUGUAGUUAAGUCAAUCUAUAUUAUUUGUGUCUGCUAGUUUACGUUUACCAUCUCAGUUUUAUCUGGUUGACAAAAAUUCUCAUUGUAACUUCCUGCUGGAAUCAUUUUUGUUUGUUUACUGAUGUUUCUUUUACCUGAUGUAUGUCCCUUGUCUACCGUGUGUAAAAGGUGGAGCCUGGUUUCCCUCCCAUGUCAGCGAUAGUGAGCAGAUGUUGGAGCUUCUAGAAAAUUUGGAACUGCUGGAACUUGAUUAAAUCUCCUGUAAUACGGUUGAACCGAGUUAAAAGGUGCAGAUAAUUGGAAUGCUCCUGCCAUCCUCAGUGCCUUGUACUGGGCUUGUAGGUUCAUGCAUGAAAGUUGACCUGAACUAAGUGUCCCCUUUGAAACCCUAGGGCUCCCAGAGUGAUGCUGAAUAGCACAGAGGGUCAGAAGGUAGUGUGCAGCCCUCGGCCUCCACUACCAGACAUGAGACAUCACAGUUCAUGGUACUGCAGUGCUCUAUCAGGUUGUGUUUAUUAAUGCUAAUUACUCCUGGAAGUUUCUUACUGACUUGCUGUAGUGAUCCAUAAUCUGGGCAUCUCAGUGAAUCUCAAUGUUGGCACCUCUCAGAACUAGCAGAUCCCAAAUUUCAAAUUUGGAUCCAGUAACCAUAUGCCAUCAGCCCAUAACCUAUCUCAUGGCAGUAUGACUGUCCAUUAUCCAGUAGUUGCAGCGCACAUUUCACUGAUGCUGCUGGAAUCACUCAUGUGCCGCACAUCGGUUGGAUUCGGUUGGGAUGCACUCCGGGAGAAUCCUGUGCUCCUUGAACAGGCAAUAUUGCAUAUAAAUUCUAGUGAUGCCAUCUUGAUGAUCAAAAGGGAGUGGUACCUGAGAGAGGCUCUGCAAUCUGAAGCUGUGGCUGUGGCUUGCCUUGCUGCUGUUGAUGGGGCGGGCUAUCAGGUUGGGAGUGGACCAAAUCACAAAAGUAAUCUUUCAUUCUGACGCCUCCAGCCUGGUGCGAGCUCUUAGCAGCAACGAUCAUGACAGGUCGGUGAUUAGUGUCCUGGUGAAGGAGGCGAAGAGGCAGUGUAUGUUAGAUUUUGAUAACUUCCGCAGGCGUAGUAGUUCUCCAGCUCAUGAACUUGCUAGGCUACUUUCUUUUGGUUCUCUUGUAAGACUUGGUGAUUUCUGUUAAUGGAAAUCGGAGAGAUGAUUCUCUCUUUUAUCAAAAGAGAAAAAGAAAAAAAGAACUUGCUAGGCUGCUGGGUGUGUAGGGCGAAUCUGAUGGCUCAUUCUGGGAGGGCUUUGGUCCCAGCAGUGUAAUGAGCAUGGUCGCCAGCAAGUCCAUGUCAAGUUAGUAUCUGGCAAAGGGCGUACCGACGAUGUUCGCUGAUGAGGAUUACUCAAGCUAUAAGCUACAUCCUCUUCUGCUUGAGAUAUCUAGUACGUAGGAGAUCAUGGGAGGAUCCCCCGUCGAUGAAUUUUCUCCCCUACAACUAUGGCUAAGGUAAAUUGUUUUGCAGCAGUUAAUGGUACAAACAGCUAUGGAUGUUAUUUUCUUAAGGUAGAAAUGGGAAGUCUGCAUUCUGCACUAUGCUCAGCAGAUGGCAUUUGGACCGCUGCUGUGUAGAAUGAGGAGCUUCGCUGGGUGCUUUGAUUGUUUUUUUGCCUCGCCUUAAUUUCAUUCUGUAACAUGGACUGCCAUGUUACUGCUAGAAUGAAUUAGAUGUUCCAGACAUGAUGGUUGGAUCAGGAAGAAUUCAGUUAAGUCAAUUAUUAAGUUUGGUCAUUGAAAAAAAGAGAUGCUGCGAGAACUACAUAUUCUGAAGUUUUUGAUGUUACUGGAUAAUCUACAAGUAUUAAAAAAAUAAAAA